AGGGUUAGGUUUAGGAUGGGGGUCAGGUCAGGGGUCAUCCUAUAACCUAAAGGGUUAGGGUUAGGUUUAGGAUGGAGGUCAGGUCUGGGGUCAUCCUAUAACCUAAAGGGUUGGUUAGGUUUAGGUAUGAGCAGCUGGUUAUGGUUAGGGUUAGGUUUUUGGGGUAUGGGGAAAUCCUAAACAGGGUGAAACCCACGGUCAGGACCUCCCAGGCAUUGGCGCAGCUGCCAUCUAAACACCCUCCAACCUCAUCUGUCUUUACACCUCAUGAACUUGGUAUAAAGAAAUAAAAUGAAAUAAAAAAACAAAUAAAUAAAUAAA